GUGUGACUCCAUCACCCUUUACCCCAGCCCCACCCGAGUUUGCCAGCCCAGCAUUGCUCAUGCAUCCCUAGCCUGGGGUCCUUCUCUCUUGGCCACUCAAGAACUCCCCUUCUCAGGCAGCUCUGCUGGCUGCCAGUUGGCCUUCAUGGGACCUUCGCCUCUCUGACUGGGGCCAUAAAGGCCCUGGUAUCACUUACCUGCUGCCAGGCAACAAUAAGGCAGGGAUUUGUAAGCAACCAAGCAAGCAAGCAAUGAGAAGUUUAAGACCCUCAAAGAACUUCAAGCAAGCCAUCUUUGGUCCAUGUGAGGCCAAAGGAAGGCAAAGUGAUGUGGCGUGAGGACUGUGCAGUCAGGAGAGUUUCUUGGAGGAGGCUAGACUUAAACCAGGUCGGAGCCCGCAGGUGCCGGGGCCAGGAGGGAACACCUGGAAGCUCUGCAGGGUGCGGAGAAAGAGCACCUGGCACCUUCAACUCCAGGGACCCGAUGGAUCCUGCCUCCCACCAAGAUCACAUGGGGGAAGGGGGUGAGUUCGCCCCAGAGAGGACAGGUGCUGGAAGCUGGGAGCAGCCAAAACACAAACGGCAACAAAUGCCCACCAUACACCAGAGAAGCAGCCUCAUGGAUGGCAACAGUGGCAUCAGCUAGUCAGGUCUUUAAACUUAGAGAAUAUCCAGAUGAUAACAUCACCUACGGAUGAAUGAAGAGCAAAAGACUUUGUGUGGCUACAUUCUCCUACUCCACAUGGGGCCACAUUCGAAGCACACAUUUACAAGUGCAACACCCUGGGGGGGUUGGCUGGGGAGGUCCUCUCUACGCGGACACUUGAAAAUGACUCAAAUCUCCUCCUCCAUGGAGUUUGCUUCACUGAUGGUGCAGUUUCUACUUCAUGCAGACAGAGAGGACGGUGUGAACAACCAAUGGAGACCUCAUCAGAGGUCUGGUCAGGCCCUACCAGAUGCGGCGACAGGCCCAUGAACACCCUGAAAUUGUGUAGAAAACGCUGCAUGUGUGCACACGUAGUUUUUCUGGAGCCAGGUCAGAGCUUUCAUGGGACCCUCAGAUGAAAACAAACACUGUUCUAGAAUAAUGCUUCCUCAACCCUUUCCUGAUGCCCCUGAGGCCUGAUGGGAUACUCUGAGAGAUCAAUUUCCAUCCCACCCAUUCAAGUCAGGCAUAUAAUCCUACCUUCUCGGUCAACACUCUGGACCCACAGGCUCUCUCCCUGCCACCAGAAGCCAGAGUCCUACACCAGACUUGGGUGUUGAAAAGUGGUCUCAUCUGAACACAUCCAGACAGAACUCUUGAUUCGUGUCACACCCCCCUUCUUUGCCCAGUCUUCCCUAUCACAGUUAAUGAUGAUCUUCUUUUCUAGGAAGAGGGAGAACUGUUAAGCUCUGGGUUCAAAUCCCAGCUUUUCUGCUUGCUGGCUGUGUGACUUUAUGCAAACCGAUUAAACUCUCUGUGCCUCCGUGCCUUCUUCUUCAAUAAUACCUAGUUCAUAGUAGUGCGGUGAGAUCUAAAUAGCUUUAAAAUAUGUCAAGGGUUUUGAAGAGUGUCUGGUUAACAAUGAAUAUUAGCAAUUGCCAUUCUUCCGGUUGCUCUGGACAAAUCCUAAGAAUGAGCCUUUCUUCCUUCUCCUUGCACAUCACACCCCAAUCCACGAGAGAUUCCAGUCCAUUCCACGGUGGGACACAUACCACACACCUGGCCUCCUCUCCCCAUGUCCAUGACUGCUGGCCUCGUCCAAGCCACAGUGGCACUCCUGCUGACCUCCUAAACUGUCGCCUUGCUUCUGUUAUUCCCAUCCUCCCCACAAAUGACAGUCGGGAGGAUCUUCUACAAAAGUAAAUCAGACCAGAGCCCCCCUUUUCAGACUCAGAACAUACCCGACACACUCCUUAUUUCAGCGGACAAGUCCUUACCUGCUCUGGCCCUUGCCCACCUCUCACGCCUCACCUCCUCCCACUUCCCCUUCCUCCCUUGGCUCCCCUCUGCUUAGAAUAAGGCCAGAGUAGAGGAGGUGCCCCUGGGGCUGUCUGCCUAGGAUGCGGAGGGGAAUUCCUCUGAGAUGACGGGUGGGCACAGAAUAAGUACUGGAGAAAGCCAUGCACGUAGCUGGUGUGGGGAAGGGUGCACGCACGCGUGCACACACACAUUUCUUGGCCAAGACCUGGGUUUCUACAGAGGGUGCUCAGGGCAGCAUCUAAACCGGGGCAGGGAGGUCUCCACAGGCCAAGGCAGCCUCAGGCCCGGGGAUGCAGGGGCGAGC
rnacentral:lncRNA from 1 species